GACGUAGGGCGCGAGCGUUGUCCGGAUUUAUUGGGCGUAAAGAGCUCGUAGGCGGCUCGUUGCGUCGGCUGUGAAAACCCGCAGCUCAACUGUGGGCUUGCAGCUGAUACGGGCGGGCUGGGAUUCGGUAGGGGAGACUGGAAUUCCUGGUGUAGCGGUGAAAUGCGCAGAUAUCAGGAGGAACACCAGCGGCGAAGGCGGCGCUCUGGGCCGGUACUGACACUGAGGAGCGAAAGCGUGGGUAGCAAACAGG
rnacentral:rRNA from 1 species